CCUACGGGAGGCAGCAGUAGGGAAUAUUGCUCAAUGGGGGAAACCCUGAAGCAGCAACGCCGCGUGGAGGAUGAAGGUUUUCGGAUUGUAAACUCCUUUUGGUAGAGAAGAUAAUGACGGUAUCUAACGAAUAAGCACCGGCUAACUCCGUGCCAGGAGCCGCGGUAAUACGGAGGGUGCAAGCGUUACUCGGAAUCACUGGGCGUAAAGAGCGCGUAGGCGGGAUAGCAAGUCAGAUGUGAAAUCCUAUGGCUUAACCAUAGAACUGCAUUUGAAACUGGUCUUCUAGAGUAUGGGAGAGGUAGGUGGAAUGCUGGGUGUAGGGGUAAAAUCCGUAGAGAUCGAGAGGAAUACUGAUUGCGAAGGCGACGUGCUAGAACAUAACUGACGCUGAUGCGCGAAAGCGUGGGGAGCGAACAGGAUUAGAUACCCCUGUAGUC
rnacentral:rRNA from 1 species